rnacentral:rRNA from 1 species
GUCUACGGCCAUGCCACCCUGAACAUGCACGAUUCUGUCUGAUCUCGGAAGCUAGGCAGAGUUGGGCCUGGUUAGUACUUGGAUGGGAGAUCACCUAGGAAGACCAGGUGCUGUAGGUG